GAUGAACGCUGGCGGCGUGCCUAAUACAUGCAAGUCGAGCGAACGGACGAGAAGCUUGCUUUUCUGAUGUUAGCGGCGGACGGGUGAGUAACACGUGUAUAACCUACCUAUAAGACUGGUAUAACUUCGGGAAACCGGAGCUAAUACCGUAUAAUAUUUUGAACCGCAUGGUUCAAAAGUGAAAGACGGUCUUGCUGUCACUAAUAGAUGCAUCCGCGCUGCAUUAGCUAGUUGUGAAGUUAACGGCUUACCAAGGCAACGAUGCAUAGCCGACCUGAGAGGGUGAUCGGCCACACUGGAGCUGAGACACGGUCCAGACUCCUACGGGAGGCAGCAGUCGGGAAUCGUCCGCAAUGGGCGAAAGCCUGACGGAGCAACGCCGCGUGAGUGAUGGAGGUCCUCGGAUCGUGAAACUCUGUUAUUAGGGAAGAACAUAUGUGUAAGUAACUGUGCACAGCUUGACGGUACCUAAUCAGAAAGCCACGGCUAACUACGUG
rnacentral:rRNA from 1 species